AGGAUGAACGCUGGCGGCGUGCCUAAUACAUGCAAGUCGAGCGGUAAGGCCCCUUCGGGGGUACACGAGCGGCGGACGGCUGAGUAACACGUAGGAACGUACCCCAAAGUGAGGGAUAAGCACCAGAAAUGGUGUCUAAUACCGCAUGUGCUCUUCGGAGGAAAGCUUCGGCGCUUUGGGAACGGCCUGCGCAUGAUUAGCUUGUUGGUGAGGUAAUGGCUCACCAAGGCGACGAUCAUUAGCUGGUCUGAGAGGAUGAUCAGCCAGACUGGGACUGAGAACGGCCCAGACUCCUACGGGAGGCAGCAGUAGGGAAUUUUCCACAAUGGGC
rnacentral:rRNA from 1 species